rnacentral:rRNA from 1 species
AGAGUUUGAUCAUGGCUCAGAGCGAACGCUGGCGGCAGGCCUAACACAUGCAAGUCGAGCGCCCCGCAAGGGGAGCGGCAGACGGGAGAGUAACACGUGGGAACGUACCCUUCAGUUCGGAACAACCCAGGGAAACUUGGGCUAAUACCGGAUACGUCCGUAAGGAGAAAGAUUUAUCGCUGAAGGAUCGGCCCGCGUCUGAUUAGCUAGUUGGUGAGGUAACGGCUCACCAAGGCGACGAUCAGUAGCUGGUCUGAGAGGAUGAUCAGCCUCACUGGGACUGAGACACGGCCCAGACUCCUACGGGAGGCAGCAGUGGGGAAUAUUGGACAAUGGGCGCAAGCCUGAUCCAGCCAUGCCGCGUGGAUGAUGAAGGCCCUAGGGUUGUAAAGUCCUUUCGGCGGGGAAGAUAAUGACGGUACCCGCAGAAGAGCCC